UGAGGAAUCUUGCGCAAUGGGCGAAAGCCUGACGCAGCGACGCCGCGUGAAGGAUGAAGGUCUUCGGAUUGUAAACUUCUGUUAAGUGGGAAGAAACCCAUACGUUGACAACGCGUAUGGUCUGACGGUACCACUAGAGAAAGCACCGGCUAACUUCGUGCCAGCAGCCGCGGUAAUACGAAGGGUGCGAGCGUUAUUCGGAUUUAUUGGGCGUAAAGGGUGCGUAGGCGGCACAUUAAGUCAACUGUUUAAUUUCCCGGCCUAACCGGGAGUCAGCGGUAGAUACUGGUGAGCUAGAGCAUGAAAGAGAGAAGUGGAAUUCCUGGAGUAGCGGUAAAAUGCGUAGAUCUCAGGAGGAACACCGAUGGCGAAGGCAGCUUCUUGGUUCAUUGCUGACGCU
rnacentral:rRNA from 1 species